rnacentral:rRNA from 1 species
CGGUUAAACCGCCCUCGGGCGGACAUACAGUGGCGAACGGGUGAGUAACACGUGACCAACCUGCCCCGCGCUCCGGGACAACCGCUGGAAACGGCGGCUAAUACCGGAUACUCCGCGGCCCCCGCAUGGGGGCGGCGGGAAAGCCCCGACGGCGCGGGAUGGGGUCGCGGCCCAUUAGGUAGUAGGCGGGGUAGAGGCCCACCUAGCCGACGAUGGGUAGCCGGACUGAGAGGUCGAUCGGCCACAUUGGGACUGAGAUACGGCCCAGACUCCUACGGAAGGCAGCAG